AUACUUACCUGGCGUGAAGGUCAAUCGUGAUCACUAUGGCGGUUCCUUCAGGGUGAGACUGAUUCAUUGCACUUAGAUUCAGUUGACCCCUGUGAGUAUCCCUAAUGUGGAUACCUCGGGCGCAGAAUUUUUGCUAGCUGGGACUGCGUACGCGCUAUCCCUC